rnacentral:misc_RNA from 1 species
GAUGAAGAACGCAGCGAAAUGCGAUAAGUAAUGUGAAUUGCAGAAUUCAGUGAAUCAUCGAGUCUUUGAACGCACAUUGCGCCCGCCAGUAUUCUGGCGGGCAUGCCUGUUCGAGCGUCAUUUCAACCAUCAAGCCCCCGGCUUGUGUUGGGGACCUGCGGCUGCCGCAGGCCCUGAAAAGCAGUGGCGGGCUCGCUGUCACACCGAGCGUAGUAGCAUACAUCUCGCUCUGGGCGUGCUGCGGGUUCCGGCCGUUAAACCACCUUCAUAACCCAAGGUUGACCUCGGAUCAGGUAGGAAGACCCGCUGAACUUAAGCAUAUCAAUAAGCGGAGGA